rnacentral:rRNA from 1 species
UACGAAGGGGGCUAGCGUUGUUCGGAAUUACUGGGCGUAAAGCACACGUAGGCGGAAUGUUAAGUCAGGGGUGAAAUCCCGGGGCUCAACCCCGGAACUGCCUUUGAUACUGGCAUUCUCGAGUCCGGAAGAGGUGAGUGGAAUUCCGAGUGUAGAGGUGAAAUUCGUAGAUAUUCGGAGGAACACCAGUGGCGAAGGCGGCUCACUGGUCCGGUACUGACGCUGAGGUGCGAAAGCGUGGGGAGCAAACAGG